rnacentral:rRNA from 1 species
GAACGCUGGCGGCAGGCCUAACACAUGCAAGUCGAACGGAUCCUUCGGGAUUAGUGGCGGACGGGUGAGUAACACGUGGGAACGUGCCCUUUGGUUCGGAACAACUCAGGGAAACUUGAGCUAAUACCGGAUGUGCCCCUCGGGGGAAAGAUUUAUCGCCAUUGGAGCGGCCCGCGUCUGAUUAGCUAGUUGGUGAGGUAAAGGCUCACCAAGGCGACGAUCAGUAGCUGGUCUGAGAGGAUGAUCAGCCACAUUGGGACUGAGACACGGCCCAAACUCCUACGGGAGGCAGCAGUGGGAAUCUUGCGCAAUGGGCGAAAGCCUGACGCAGCCAUGCCGCGUGAAUGAUGAAGGUCUUAGGAUUGUAAAAUUCUUCACCGGGGACGAUAAUGACGGUACCCGGAGAAGAAGCCCCGGCUAACUUCGUG